rnacentral:rRNA from 1 species
CCUACGGGAGGCAGCAGUGGGGAAUAUUGGACAAUGGGGGCAACCCUGAUCCAGCCAUGCCGCGUGUGUGAAGAAGGCCCUCGGGUUGUAAAGCACUUUCAGUGAGGAAGAACGCCUGGUGGUUAAUACCCAUCAGGAAAGACAUCACUCACAGAAGAAGCACCGGCUAACUCCGUGCCAGCAGCCGCGGUAAUACGGAGGGUGCGAGCGUUAAUCGGAAUUACUGGGCGUAAAGCGCGCGUAGGUGGCUUGAUAAGCCGGUUGUGAAAGCCCCGGGCUCAACCUGGGAACGGCAUCCGGAACUGUCAAGCUAGAGUGCAGGAGAGGAAGGUAGAAUUCCCGGUGUAGCGGUGAAAUGCGUAGAGAUCGGGAGGAAUACCAGUGGCGAAGGCGGCCUUUUGGACUGACACUGACACUGAGGUGCGAAAGCGUGGGUAGCAAACAGGAUUAGAUACCCUAGUAGUC